ACGAAAGUCCAAGGGUUGCUUGUAAUUUUGGUUUGGGGCACCAUUUCUUUGCCAUGCGGUUUGUCCUGUCUGAUAUCUGUCCUGUUUUUGCUGUUUGUCUGUCUCCAUACUAACCACCCCAUCCCUGGAUUCCACCUCAACUGUGAUCUGCACAUGUGCCAGGAGGAUUACAGACUGCUGCUCUGAGGACACCCAGGAGACAGGCUGCCAGAUCCUGACAGUGACCCAAAGUCUCCAAAGAAGAUUAUGAGGCACCUCAGUUCCUGCACCUGGACCAGUGAGCGAGAUGCUCAGAUGUGAUACCUGCCACCUGCCAGAACCUGGCCGAGACUGUGGACAAAGCUGGACACUGGAAAAUUGAUUUCACCCUCUUUGCCUAGACAAAAUAAGACUGACAGGCACUGAAGAAUCUUCAUCUCAAGUCAGUGUCAAGGCUGGUCACUGAGCAACCCUUCACCUAAACUGCUAGAAAUUACUCCAGACAGUGGACAAGAGGACAAUGGAAUCAACUUUCCCCCCUUUGCUUGGGCCAAAGGAACUUGGCUCAGUGCUUACCUGUGCUGGUACAGCCUUGCAAACAUGGUGAAUAUUCUUAAGAGCUGCCAGACUUUCUACAAACAUUUUAAACACCAGCCCGACAAAGUGACACAGCACAACAAGAGUUGAUUAGAAUCCUCGGUCUGUUGAAG
rnacentral:lncRNA from 1 species